rnacentral:rRNA from 1 species
GAUGAACGCUGGCGGCGUGCCUAAUACAUGCAAGUCGAGCGAACAGACGAGGAGCUUGCUCCUCUGACGUUAGCGGCGGACGGGUGAGUAACACGUGGAUAACCUACCUAUAAGACUGGGAUAACUUCGGGAAACCGGAGCUAAUACCGGAUAAUAUAUUGAACCGCAUGGUUCAAUAGUGAAAGACGGUUUUGCUGUCACUUAUAGAUGGAUCCGCGCCGCAUUAGCUAGUUGGGAAGGUAACGGCUUACCAAGGCGACGAUGCGUAGCCGACCUGAGAGGGUGAUAGGCCACACUGGAACUGAGACACGGUCCAGACUCCUACGGGAGGCAGCAGUAGGGAAUCUUCCGCAAUGGGCGAAAGCCUGACGGAGCAACGCCGCGUGAGUGAUGAAGGUCUUCGGAUCGUAAAACUCUGUUAUUAGGGAAGAACAAAUGUGUAAGUAACUAUGCACGUCUUGACGGUACCUAAUCAGAAAGCCACGGCUAACUACGUG